UUGCUACUCUCCCCGUCCGAAAAUACUUGUCAUCAAAAUGGAUAAAAAGAGAUGGAUGUAGAACUAAAAUACAUCUAAAUACAUCCAUUAUUAUCCAUUUCAAUAACAAGUAUUUCCGGAUGAAGGGAGUAUAGA
rfam:Triticum urartu cultivar G1812 contig334736, whole genome shotgun sequence.